AUUGAACGCUGGCGGCAGGCCUAACACAUGCAAGUCGAGCGAGCGGCGGACGGGUGAGUAAUGUCUGGGAAACUGCCUGCUGGCGGGGGAUAACUACUGUAAACGGUUGCUAAUACCGCAUACCCUCAGAUGUGCUCAGAUGGGAUUAGCUAGUAGGUGGGGUAAUGGCUCACCUAGGCGACGAUCCCGAGCGGGUCUGAGAGGAUGACCAGCAACAAUGGACCUGAGACAGGGUCCAGUCUCCUAGGGAGGGCUGAAGUGGGGAAUCUUGCAAAAGGGGAGAAAGCCUGAUGCGCCCAUGCCGGGUGUGUGAGGAAGGCUUUGGGUUUGUAAAGCACGUUCAGCGGGGAGGCGUUACCCGAAGAAGAAGCACCGGCUAACUACGUGCCAGCAGCCGCGGUAAUUC
rnacentral:rRNA from 1 species